AACGGCGAGUGAAGCGGCAAGAGCUCAAAUUUGAAAUCUGGCCUCCCCCGGGGGCCCGAGUUGUAAUUUGCAGAGGAUGUUUCGGGUGCGGCCGCCGUCUAAGUUCCUUGGAACAGGACGUCAGAGAGGGUGAGAAUCCCGUCUUGGGCGGGCGGUCCGCGCCCGUGUGAAGCUCCUUCGACGAGUCGAGUUGUUUGGGAAUGCAGCUCUAAGCGGGUGGUAAAUUUCAUCUAAAGCUAAAUAUUGGCCGGAGACCGAUAGCGCACAAGUAGAGUGAUCGAAAGGUUAAAAGCACCUUGAAAAGGGAGUUAAACAGCACGUGAAAUUGUUGAAAGGGAAGCGCUUGCGGCCAGACUCGGGGGCGGGGUUCAGCGGGUGCUCGUCGCCCGUGUAUUCCUCGUUUCCCGGGCCAGCAUCAGUUUCGACGGCCGGUCAAAGGCCCCCGGAAUGUGUCGUCUCUCGGGACGUCUUAUAGCCGGGGGUGCAAUGCGGCCCGUCGGGACUGAGGAACGCGCUCCGGCUCGGAUGCUGGCGUAAUGGCCGUAAGCGGCCCGUCUUGAAACACGGACCAAGGAGUCUAACAUCCACGCGAGUGUUCGGGUGUCAAACCCGUGCGCGCAGUGAAAGCGAACGGAGGUGGGAGCCCUAGGGCGCACCAUCGACCGAUCCUGAAGUCUUCGGAUGGAUUUGAGUAGGAGCGUGGCCGUUGGGACCCGAAAGAUGGUGAACUAUGCCUGAAUAGGGUGAAGCCAGAGGAAACUCUGGUGGAGGCUCGCAGCGGUUCUGACGUGCAAAUCGAUCGUCAAAUUU
rnacentral:rRNA from 2 species